CGUUGUUGCUACCGUAAAGCAACCCGUCCUUUUCGCGGUAUUUUGUAGUCGCUAACCAAACUCCCAGGAGCGCGGUUUGAGGGGAGCGUGGGAAAGAAACAAAAUCAUCCGGUCUGUUAGAAGUCUGUGUGUCAUAAGAAUGAUUAUGAAACCUAUAUUUAAAGGUAAAAAAGCUUACGUACAGUUGUUUUAAAGAGGACUUUAUUUGAGGCCAGAAUAUUUAUUUUGCAGUGGGGCCAGUAAACAAGCAAUCAGAACACCAGCAGAAAUAUGCAAAAACCAAUUAGAGCCCCUUAGCAACCACACAACAAUGUGCUAUAAACCAAUAAGAGCAUCCUAGCAAAUGCAUAGUAACACAUUAGUCAACAAAAGCCUCUCACAUUUUCACAACUUGUACCUGAGGUCUUACAUUAGCUAUUAUUUUGUGGGAAAGUUAUUUUUAGGCACCAUCUCUUGACAUUUGUUUAUUCAUCCUGAGCUGGCAGCACUCUUUGAUUAGAUUUGUCAUAAAUGUUGACUGUUGAGCCUGGAAAGCUUGGACUCGAUGGAGUGAGUUCAAACAGACAGUGAUCUACGAGGAAGCAAAUCAUUUGAGAGAUGAGAAAGUGUGGCAAACAGGUUUGGAACGACAUGAGGGAAUCUGGAGCGGAGGAUUGAUAAGCAUAAAGGUCAGAGGUCAACGAGUGCAAGUUCUCGUUUGAGAUGUGCUCAGGCUUCCUGCGAAUUUGUUUCUGAUUAUGGUGUUGUUCUUGAUGGUUUGGCCUGGAUCACAUAAAAUUGCAUAAUGCCUUGACUUAGCAUCAUAAACUUUUAAAAUAAAGUCAGGGUUGGUUAAAAAUGACUUAAUUACAUUCUAACCUUUAGAAAGAUCUUAUAGUU